rnacentral:rRNA from 1 species
AGUGGCGGACGGGUGAGUAACGCGUGAGAAUCUGCCCUUAGGACGGGGACAACAGCUGGAAACGGCUGCUAAUACCCGAUGUGCCGAGAGGUGAAACAUUUAUGGCCUGAGGAUGAGCUCGCGUCUGAUUAGCUAGUUGGUGGGGUAAGAGCCUACCAAGGCAACGAUCAGUAGCUGGUCUGAGAGGAUGAUCAGCCACACUGGGACUGAGACACGGCCCAGACUCCUACGGGAGGCAGCAGUGGGGAAUUUUCCGCAAUGGGCGCAAGCCUGACGGAGCAAGACCGCGUGCGGGAGGACGGCCUAUUGGUUGUAAACCGCUUUUGAUAGGGAAGAAGUUCUGACGGUACCUAUCGAAUCAGCAUCGGCUAACUCCGUGCCAGCAGCCGCGGUAAUACGGAGGAUGCAAGCGUUAUCCGGAAUUAUUGGGCGUAAAGCGUCCGUAGGUGGUUGUUCAAGUCUGCUGUUAAAGCGCGCGGCUUAACCGCAUAUCAGCAGUAGAAACUGGACGACUAGAGUGCGGUAGGGGUCAGGGGAAUUCCCAGUGUAGCGGUGAAAUGCGUAGAUAUUGGGAAGAACACCGGUGGCGAAAGCGCCUGACUGGACCUGCACUGACACUGAGGGACGAAAGCUAGGGGAGCGAAAGGGAUUAGAUACCCCUGUAGUCCUAGCCGUAAACGAUGGACACUAGGUGUUG